rnacentral:lncRNA from 1 species
CUUCGUGGUUGUGUGCAUGCGGUGGGAUUGUGAGAGUGCGUUCAUGAGAGCUGUGGGCGGCGUUGGCUGCUUCUGAGUGUGGUCUUCUUGGCGACAGGCUGUGUGUCCCAGUGUGGUGUGCCUGCGCGGUUGGGAUUGCCCAGGACUACACCGCAGCGUAACUGCAGGCCUCUCAGCGCAAAAGGGGGAAAGCAAAGACCCGGGUCUGCAUCCUCUACCUCGGCUUCCGCCCCUCUCCGGCGGAGUGGAGAUCCUAUUCAGAGGGGCCAGUCUCUCUAAAUAUGCCCCAGGUGGAAAUAUUCUGGCUGUCUGGCAACUGCAGAUGAGGACUUCGCGUUGGGGGCUAUAAGCAGGGUCUCCGCAGUACAAACAGCCAGGAGCUGUAGUUGCCAAAUAGUCUAGAACUCUAAAAUCUCUCUCCUCUUUCAUUCUCCCCAAAUAAAAACAAACAAAAUCACUCAGGCGUUCCUUUCUGUAAUCGAACCAAGUGAUGCAGCUUAGUCACCAACAACCGU